GCCGGGCGUGGUAGCCCACGCCUUUAAUCCCAGCACUGGAGAGGCAGAGGCAGGUGGAUUUCUGAGUUUGAGGCCAGUCUGAUCUACAAAGUGAGGUCCAGGACAGCCAGGGCUAUACAGAGAAACCCUGUCUUGAAAAACCAAAAAAGAAAAAAAACCAGGGAAAAUAUUUUUUGUUUUGUUAUUGUUGUUUUUGAGACAGGGUUUCUCUGUGUAGCCCUGGCUGUCCUGGAACUCACUUUGAGACCAGGCUGGCCUUGAACGCAGAAAUUUGUCUGCCU
rnacentral:lncRNA from 1 species